GUGGGGAAUAUUAGGCAAUGGGCGAAAGCCUGACCUAGCGACGCCGCGUGAGGGAAGACGGUCUUCGGAUUGUAAACCUCUGUCUUCAGGGACGAAGAAGAUGACGGUACCUGAAGAGGAAGCCACGGCUAACUACGUGCCAGCAGCCGCGGUAAUACGUAGGUGGCGAGCGUUGUCCGGAAUUACUGGGUGUAAAGGGAGCGUAGGCGGGUACGCAAGUUGAAUGUGAAAACUAACGGCUCAACCGAUAGUUGCGUUCAAAACUGCGGAUCUUGAGUGAAGUAGAGGCAGGCGGAAUUCCUAGUGUAGCGGUAAAAUGCGUAGAUAUUAGGAGGAACACCAGUGGCGAAGGCGGCCUGCUGGGCUUUAACUGACGCUGAGGCUCGAAAGUGUGGGGAGCAAACAGGA
rnacentral:rRNA from 1 species